CUUUACAACCCUCAGCUAAGGCUUUGAUGAUGCUGGAUAUUUCAGGAUCUUUCUGUUGUUCCUCCCACAGUGUGGUCAUGGAAAAGGGAAAGUCUUCUGUAUCCUUCUGACUGGAAGUCAUCAUACAAGCAGGGCCAAGUGGAAUCCUAGACAGAGCAUCCGGUGCCACAUUGAGUUUGCCUUUCCGGUAUUCAAUUACAAAAUUGAAUUUUUGGAGUCGAAGUGCCCAUCUUAUAAGACGACUAGAUGUUUUAGUGCUGUUCAUUACCCACUGUAAGGAGGCAUGGGUACGGCUUGCAUAAGCGAUCACCUCCUCGUGACCGACUCCCUUCUUUUGGGCCAGGAUUGCACCCAAUCCCACGUCACUGGCGUCUGUAUAUACAAGGAAAGGAAAAUCCAGGUCAGGAUGUCCCAGAAUGGGAGGAGAGGGCAUUGAUUGGUUCAGCCACUUGAGAGAACCCUGGCACAAAGCGAUGGUACCAGCCAGCUAAACCCAUGAAGCGCUGGACUUCCUUUAUGUUCGUAGGUGCUGGGUAGGAUUUGAUAGCUUCCACUUUUACUGGAUCUGCGGCUAUCCCUUUGGCAGAUAUGACAUGACCCAGGUAUUUGAUUUGCCGGAGACAGAACUUGGA